rnacentral:rRNA from 1 species
GACGUAGGGCGCGAGCGUUGUCCGGAUUUAUUGGGCGUAAAGAGCUCGUAGGCGGCUUGUUACGUCGACUGUGAAAACCCGCGGCUCAACCGUGUGGUCUGCAGUCGAUACGGGCAGGCUAGAGUUCGGUAGGGGAGAAUGGAAUUCCUGGUGUAGCGGUGAAAUGCGCAGAUAUUAGGAAGAACACCCGUGGCGAAGGCGGUUCUCUGGGACGGUACUGACGCUGAGACGCGAAAGCGUGGGGAGCGAACAGG